CUCCGGUAUAAAACGAAGGGCUUCUAAAAUAUAGAGUGCAUCAGAUCUGGAAAUCGUAGGAAGAGGCGUCUUGAUAAACGCCGAUCCUUUGAGUUUGAAUUUGAAAUUCUAGGGUUUCGAAAAAAGCAGCGAAAAUGAGAGAGUGCAUAUCGAUUCACAUUGGUCAGGCCGGUAUUCAGGUCGGAAAUGCAUGCUGGGAACUUUACUGCCUCGAGCAUGGCAUUCAGCCUGAUGGCCAGAUGCCAGGUGACAAGACAGUUGGAGGAGGUGAUGAUGCUUUCAACACCUUCUUCAGUGAAACUGGGGCAGGAAAGCACGUCCCUCGUGCUGUCUUUGUGGAUCUUGAGCCUACUGUCAUUGACGAAGUCAGGACUGGAACAUACAGGCAGCUCUUUCACCCUGAGCAGCUUAUCAGUGGCAAAGAAGAUGCGGCCAAUAACUUUGCCCGUGGGCAUUAUACAAUUGGGAAAGAGAUAGUUGAUCUCUGCUUGGAUCGUAUCAGGAAGCUUGCAGACAACUGUACUGGUCUUCAAGGUUUUCUCGUUUUCAAUGCUGUUGGUGGUGGAACUGGUUCAGGUCUUGGGUCACUUCUGCUGGAGCGUCUCUCUGUGGACUAUGGCAAGAAAUCAAAACUUGGUUUCACCAUUUAUCCAUCACCACAGGUCUCAACCUCUGUGGUGGAACCUUACAACAGUGUCCUGUCAACCCACUCCCUUCUUGAGCACACCGAUGUUGCAGUUCUUCUGGACAAUGAGGCCAUUUAUGACAUUUGCAGGCGCUCAUUGGACAUUGAGCGACCCACAUACACCAAUCUGAACCGACUUAUUUCACAGGUCAUUUCUUCGUUGACUGCUUCGUUGAGGUUUGAUGGGGCACUGAAUGUUGAUGUGAAUGAAUUCCAGACCAACCUUGUUCCCUACCCCAGAAUUCAUUUUAUGCUUUCCUCCUAUGCUCCUGUCAUUUCAGCUGAGAAGGCCUACCAUGAGCAGCUCUCAGUUGCAGAGAUCACCAACAGUGCUUUUGAGCCAUCUUCCAUGAUGGUUAAGUGUGAUCCUCGCCAUGGCAAGUACAUGGCGUGCUGCCUNAAAGUACAUGGCUUGCUGCCUUAUGUUCCGUGGUGAUGUUGUGCCAAAGGAUGUCAAUGCUGCUGUGGCUACCAUCAAGACUAAGCGUACCAUCCAAUUUGUUGACUGGUGCCCUACCGGAUUCAAGUGUGGUAUCAACUAUCAGCCACCAACUGUUGUUCCUGGAGGUGAUCUUGCCAAGGUGCAAAGGGCUGUAUGUAUGAUAUCCAACUCAACCAGUGUUGCUGAGGUCUUCUCACGCAUUGACCACAAGUUUGAUCUGAUGUAUGCCAAACGUGCUUUCGUGCACUGGUAUGUUGGUGAGGGCAUGGAGGAAGGUGAGUUCAGUGAAGCACGUGAAGAUCUGGCUGCUCUGGAAAAGGAUUACGAGGAAGUUGGUGCUGAAUUAGAGGAAGGAGAAGACGAUGAUAACGAGGAAUACUAAAUACAUGAAUCGUGAUGCAUUGCUUUGUUUGUUGGAUUGUAUUUUUCUUUGGUUCUUCAGUUGCUGCAUUUUAGACAUUCCAGUACUAGUUUGUAUUUGAUGGUGUCUUGUAUGCUGAAAUGACUUCUGCUGCUAUGAAAGUUCAAACAUUGCUUGUUUGUGUGAAA